AAGGAGCUGUGGAGUGCCAGGAAGAGAGAAUGCCGGAAUGAGUAGCGAGAGAGAGGUGGGAAUCCUCUCGGCCGAAUAUCCAAGGUUUCCAGGGUAAAGCUGAUCUGCCCUGGGUAAGUCGGGGCCUAAGGAGAGGCAGAAAUGCGUAUCCGAUGGACAGCAGGUUGAGAUUCCUGCACUAUCUUAAAACAGAACUGUGGGGACAUUUGUGGAGAGCACAGGCGCGGAACGGAAAGCCGCGUGCAAGCGAAGGAGGAGUCACAUAGGAAAAACCGUGUGGCAAUCCAGAGGCGUGAUGCGGACCGAACUAGAGUAGGGAAGUGUGUGAGCCAUGAAUCAAGAAAAGCCGCUAUUGUUUUUAAGAUACCCGUACCGUAAACCGACACAGGUGGAUGAGGAGAGAAUCCUAAGGCCGGCGGAAGAAGCAUUGUUAAGGAACUCGGCAAAAUGACCCCGUAACUUCGGGAGAAGGGGUGCCAACGAGAGUUGGCCGCAGAGAAUAGGCUCAAGCAACUGUUUAGCAAAAACACAGGUCUAUGCAAAACCGUAAGGUGAGGUAUAUGGGCUGACGCCUGCCCGGUGCUGGAAGGUUAAGAGGAGAGGUUAGCGCAAGCGAAGCUUUGAAUUUAAGCCCCAGUAAACGGCGGCCGUAACUAUAACGGUCCUAAGGUAGCGAAAUUCCUUGUCGGGUAAGUUCCGACCCGCACGAAAGGCGUAAUGAUUUGAGCGCUGUCUCGACAAUGCAUCCGGUGAAAUUGAAGUACCAGUGAAGAUGCUGGUUACCCGCGCCAGGACGGAAAGACCCCAUGGAGCUUUACUCCAGUUUGGUACUGGGGUCCGGCAGUGCAUGUACAGGAUAGGUGGGAGGCUGUGAACCUGGAACGCCAGUUUCAGGGGAGCCAUUGUUGGGAUACCACCCUUGUGCUGCUGGGCUUCUAACCAGCGGCCUUUAUCAGGCCGGGGGACAAUGCCAGACGGGGAGUUUGACUGGGGCGGUCGCCUCCGAAAGGGUAUCGGAGGCGCUCAAAGGUUCCCUCAGAAUGGUCGGAAACCAUUCGAAGAGUGCAAAGGCAGAAGGGAGCUUGACUGCGACACCGACGGGUGGAGCAGGUACGAAAGUAGGACUUAGUGAUCCGGUGGUAUUAAGUGGGAAUGCCAUCGCUCAACGGAUAAAAGCUACCCUGGGGAUAACAGGCUUAUCACUCCCAAGAGUUCACAUCGACGGAGUGGUUUGGCACCUCGAUGUCGGCUCAUCGCAUCCUGGGGCUGUAGUAGGUCCCAAGGGUUGGGCUGUUCGCCCAUUAAAGCGGUACGCGAGCUGGGUUCAGAACGUCGUGAGACAGUUCGGUCCCUAUCCGGCGUGGGCGUAGGAUAUUUGAGAGGAGCUGUCCUUAGUACGAGAGGACCGGGAUGGACUGACCUCUGGUGUACCGGUUGAACCGCCAGGUUCACGGCCGGGUAGCCAAGUCGGGAAGGGAUAAACGCUGAAGGCAUCUAAGCGUGAAGCCCCCCUCAAGAUGAGAUAUCCCAUUCGAAAGAAGUAAGACCCCUUGAAGACGACGAGGUAGAUAGGGCAGAGGUGGAAGUGCCGUAAGGCAUGGAGCUGACUGUUACUAAUCGGUCGAGGGCUUGACCU
rnacentral:rRNA from 1 species